rnacentral:rRNA from 1 species
AAAUUGAAGAGUUUGAUCAUGGCUCAGAUUGAACGCUGGCGGCAGGCCUAACACAUGCAAGUCGAACGGUAACAGGAAACAGCUUGCUGUUUCGCUGACGAGUGGCGGACGGGUGAGUAAUGUCUGGGAAACUGCCUGAUGGAGGGGGAUAACUACUGGAAACGGUAGCUA